rnacentral:misc_RNA from 1 species
AAAUAGAUAUUUGAUACCCACUUUAAUUAACCAAAUACCCAGAACGGUACUUCUCGAUAUUACAAAAGAUAAUUACAAAUAUAAACUUAAAAAAUAUUUCUGUGAACAACUGCAAAAAAAAAUGAGAAAUAUUAAAAACUCAAAUUUAAUAAAUGGAUAUGUCUAUUUAUGUAUAAUAUGUAUGUUAUUGCUAUCUGUUUUUGAAUAAUUAAUAAAUAGAAGUAAAAUAUAUAUAUGAAUAUAGUAACUAAUUUACCAUAACAACCUGUAUACUGCUAGCUAUUUCUGA